rnacentral:lncRNA from 1 species
GCAAAUAAAAUACUCGAGAUAGUGGAAGCCAAUCUUAAGGGCUCAGCUAUAGUGCUUACGGAUUUCCACCUGACUCAACCUACCUAGACAUUAGGUCUAUUAUUAGGUCGCUUGCCAUUAAGUUUAUUAUGGAAUGUAGCUCCACUCAAUUUUUUUGGCUCACUCAAGUCAACUUAUUAGUCUCCAAAAUUUAUUACUAUGGGACAGAAAGUUGGAAUUAUUUUAACCAAUCAUAAAUAGUGAACAAUUCUUACAACUAUAAAUUUAUAUUAAAUAAUAAUUAACUUUAAUUUUAAAGUUAAAGUAUUAUCGAUCUGCUUAAAUCAAAUAAAUAGAAAAAUUAAGUUUUAAAAUUAAAAAAUUUUAAAAAUAUAUUAUCAAACCAAAAUGAUGCGUAAUUCAAAUAAACUUUGUACUUUUUUUCUUUUAUUUAGGCCCUGUUUGGAUGCAUAGUUAAAAAACUCCAUGAAAUUUUUAUUCUAUGGUUUUGGUCUAAAUGAAAUACGGAAUCCUGUAACUACAAAAAAAUUCUACAGCUUCAUUUUUAAGCUGUUUGGAUACAUAUCAUACAAUUCCACAGUAUUUAUAACAAUUAAAUUUCUAAAAUUUUAAAAUUCAAAAUUCAAAACUCAAAAUUCAAAAUUCAAAAUUCAAAAUUUUAAAAUAAAAUUUUAAAAAUUAAAAAUAAAAAUUCAAAAUAUAAAAUUAAAAUUUAAAAUUUAAAAUUUAAAAAGUAAAUUAGAUUUUAUGUUUUAAAUUUGAAAUUUGAAAUUUGGAAUUUGAAAUUUCAAAUUUGAAAUUUGAAACUUUAAAAUUUAAAACUUAAAGUAUACCAUUUAAACUUUAAAUUUUGAAAUUUAAAAAAUCUAUAAUUAAAAUUUUAAAUUUCAAAUUUAAUAAUUUAUAAAUUUACAUAUUUAUAAAUUUAAAAUUUUAAAUUUAAGUUUAAAUUUAAAUUUUGAAGAUUGAAAAUUAAAAAUUAAAAAUAAAAUUAAAAUUUGAAAUUUGAAAUUUGAAAUUUGAACUUUUUGAAAUUUGAAAUUUGAAAUUUGAAAUUUGAAAUUUGAAAUUUGAAAUUUGAAAUUUGAAAUUUGAAGUUUUUGAAAUUUGAAAUUUAAAAUUUAAAUUUUGAAGUUUUUGAAAUUUGAAAUUUGAAAUUUAAAAUUUAAAAUUUAAAAUCAAAAUUAAAUUUGAAUUUUAAAAUUUUAAAAUUUGAAAUCUAAAAUUUUAUGUUGAAAUUUAAAAUUUAAAAAUUGAUACAUCUUUGGGAGCCCAAAAUGGUGGAAUUUUUUUCCUUUGGUUAAAGUGGAUUGUAAGUUUACUCCAUUUUUUGGAGUAUAGUAUAACUAUACUCCAAAAAUUACGUCAUUUUUUUUUCUUCCAAACGCUUCAUAGGAUUAUUUUCCUACCAGCGUAGCAUAGUUUAACUAUGCUAUGUUUUUAGAGGUAUCCAAACGGGGCCUUAACCUUUUAGGAUAAAUACCGCGUUUUGAUUUAAGGUUCCUUCCUCUCCAAGUUACAUGGGCUCCAGCCUCCAGUACUCCAUUGGAAAAGACAGCGCGAAAAAUAAACAAAAAUUUAUGAACUGUAGCAUUUGGAUUUCUGGCAAUAAUUUUGAUUUGGGGCUUCUUCUCCAAGUUAGCAUGUGACCUUUUUAUGUCAUGCUUGCAUAAAUAUUAUUUAUAUUCUAAAUUAAUUAAAUUUUUAUUAGAUAUAAAUAUCUAUUUUCUAUUACUCUGUAUGAAUUUUUAAUAAUUUUACCACGUAGAAAGUUUUUCUCCAUCCUCACUAACUUUUUUUUUUUAAAUUAAUUUUUACUCUUGGCUUUUCCACUCCCCUCCUCUCUAUUCAAUGACAUAUAAUCUAUUAUCUAUUACUCUAUAUGAAAUUCUAAUAAUUUUGCCACGUGGCAAGUUUUUCUCCACCCUCACUAACAUUUUUUUUUAAAAUUAAUUUUUACUCUUGGCUUUUCCACUCCCCUCCUCUCUAUUCAAUGACAUGUAAUUAAUGUGCUUUUUAAUUUAUACGUUUUCUCUUCAAAAUUACUUUUUUUGAAUUGAUUUUUAUUCAUGGCUUUUCUCCUUCCCUCCUCUCUAUUCAAUGAAUAUGUUUCAUUUUUAAAAUUAGUCCUUUUUUCUCCCACAAAUAAUUUUUAACGUGCAAAAUUAAAAAAUGAGAAGAUGAAUAGUUACUACGUUCAGAUCUAGAGAUUGGGGAAGAGCAAGGGAGUCUUCCAAAUCCUAAUCCGUACCAAUUCGACUCGACCCGAACCCCCCCUCCGAAUCAAAAGAGUGUUUAUAGGGUUUCUAUCAAUGUCGAUCUCUUCGGAUUUAUGGAAAAAGAAGGUAAUCGAACGAUUUUUUCAAUAGAGGAAGCUAAUUAGAUAGCAAUAAUGGACGGUUCGAGGGGUAGGUUUGGAAAACGAAAAUCCUAAACCUAAUUUUUCUUUUCUUUAUUUUAAUCUCGAAUUCUUACUACGUAUUUAUUUAGAAUUUAAUUUAUUUGCAUUAUUUUUGAUAUGGUGAUUGUAUUAAUCAAGGAUUUGAUUUAUAUGCAUUAUUUUGAUUAAUUUAAUGGUUAUUUUUUAUUUUAUAAUUGAUGUGGCAGUUUUGGCCCGCAACUUUUGAUCAUUUCAUGUCCAAAAGAGUGCAAAAUCCUGCAAAUUUUUAUCAGAUUUUUAUCGCCAUCAUCGUCAUCAUCGCAACAUUAUUAUCUCUAUCUUUAUACGACCUUUGUAGGUUUUUUUUUUUGAAUGUUGAUUUUGGGUAGUUAUCGAUUUUUAAUGGCCAUAUUAGUUAGUUCAAUUCAUACGUUUCUCUACUCAAAAAAUAAAACACACUUGAAUUUUUAUUUUCCAAACUUUUUUCUUCUUACUCUUCAAUAUUUUUAAAAUUUUUUUCUAUUAUUUAUCCGCGAUAUCGCGCGGGUUACUACACUAGUAUAUUUUAUUUAUUUAAGAAAAGUCACAUUUACUUAGUAGCGUCAGUAACAUUGUUCUUAAAAAAAUAUUAAUUUUUUACAUGUAGAUGUCUAAAUUGGACUAAUUUUUACAAGAAGCUGACGAGUACCAAUAAGCCUUCAAGUUCAAAUACUAAUGUUAGUAAGUAUCAUGAUGAAGUUCUAAGAUUGUUAAGAAAACUAAAGAAGAGAAGAGAUGAUAUUGGGAGUUUUUUUUAUACGGAUUUAUUUUGUUUACAAAUCCCAAAUUGAGAAUCUGACAAUUUUGAUAGGUAGAUCCUAUAAUUAAACUUUAUUAAAUAGUUUAUUUUUUUUAAUUAAAGUUAUUAAUUUUUUUGAUUUUUUUUUUUAGAGAGAUAGAUAGCACGCUACCCACUUCGUUUAUUUCAUUUAAAAAUAAAAUAAUCUUCUAAUUUUGAUAUGUAAGUACAAAAAUUAAAAAAUAGGAAGGUUUUGAAGGUUUAUAAAAUUAUAUUUAUAUAUGCAGAGAUAAUUUUAAUUUAAUAAAG